GCAGCCCACUGUUCCUGGGCUGUAAUCUCAUGCUGAGAAUUGCUCAACAGCCCCACCAAACACGCAGAGCCCCAGCCUGAACCCAAGUGGAAACAGAGUCUUAUUUUUACCCACUGCCUGGAAAAGCCUGCUUUCAGCCUCCUGUCUAGGUAAUUCCCACUCUCUUAGGGGGCAAGGAGGCUGUCAUGGGGGCGUUGUUGACCAACAGUCUCUCCCUCUCUCUCUACUUUCCUGAGUGUGAAGCAUCUGGACUUCCACUGCGCUGUCUUCCACGAAGGCAGGCAGGAAAUAAGGGUCAGCGCGGGCCCGAGAGGAAGUGCGGUAAGCCCCGCAGGGAAUCAGAUGCUGGCCUGGUUUCACAUGAGGGCAACCUAUAUGUGGAGCUCAGUCCUUCCCCUGGAUUUCCACCAAACCUGUGUGAAUGCUUGUGAAACCGAUGCCACAGGGUCACAUCACAGCAGAACAAAUGAUCACAGACUGUUAAGUAGACUGCCUUGCUCUUAACAGUGUGUUGUCCCCCAGCCAUAUGGCUUGUCCUCUUUUCUCACCAACCCCGCCACAACGAAAUCUUGUUCUGCUCUCCUCCACCCCCAGGUUCCUGCUAAAUCCUAAUUCAGAACGAUUCAAUUAUUAAUUAGAUCAUUUAAACAUUAAUUAAGAUUCAAGUGUCAGUUAAAUAAUAUUUGAUGAGCCUGUCUGCAGCUCAUCAGCGACUCGGGAUGUUUUUGAUUCAGGAUCUCACCUUCUAUCCCUAGAUAUCUAUCAAGGUGUGCUCUUCAACAAAGAUGGGCUCCUUUAAGAGAGAGUUCAACUAACUUUUUGUCCUGCUUGGUUGGGCCUGACUGAAGGCAGAUCACAGGCAGAGAGGGACGCUGCUUAUCCUCAGGCCCUGGAAGAGCUAAGACUGGUUGGGCCCUGUGGAAUGUGUGUGGCCGGUUCAGGAGGCAAAGGUGGCCCAAAGAAGCCUUCCUCCUUCCUCUGCCUCCGGAAACAUUUCCUGUGCAGGGGAGAAGAAUUACAUGCUGGCUUCAUCUCCAAAGAUCAAGGAAUAACUCUGAACCAUGGUGACAGGUGCUCUUUCCAGAUCAGAUGCUCAUCAAGGAAGUGAACCCAACACCUGGAGGUCACCCUUUGAUGAAGGUAUUUCUUUUAUAACAAAUCAAAGAAAACUUUAACCUCCCUGGAAUAAAGGAAAUGGGGUGGUCCAGACUAGUCGCUAUGACUACUGUCUUGCUAAGCUAUCCCUAGAAAAGGGGGGAGGCAGCCAUCCCUCCCCUGUGCAUUCACUGUCCACCCCGGGAUAUGCACAAGGGAACAGAAGGGACGUGGUAGUUGCUGACGGGCCCAACAACCCUUCCCUCACACACACUGGUCCUGGGUGGAGUAUCUUGGAUAUGCAAUCCCACUUAGUGUUCAGAGAGAAUCUUCAAAGAUUCUCUAAAGGAUGUAUCUCCAUUACAUGGAUGAAGAAACCAAGGCCUGGGCAGGUGAAGCGAUGUACCGAAAGCCUGAAAGCCAGAGAGAGGCAGAUGUUGGCUUGAAGUCCAUUCGCCUUCCUUCAAAUCGCUGUGGCUUUUUCCCUGAUCAUCCCCACACUCACCUCCAUCCCACAGUGGCUGCUGUAGAGGGGAGCAAAGCUGAGAAGACACAGGAAGAUGCCGGCGGUAUGCUGAACGUAGAAAGGAGCAGUAACACCGAGACCCCUGGAGGGGCUCUGCAGCCACAGUCUCUCUUGAGCGCUUAGAUUUCCUUUGGUUCUUGUAAAUCCCUUUGGGAAAGCUCUAAUCUGCCUCAACUGAACGAAAGGCAAGGCUGUGUUGUUAAUGACUGGUCAGGAGGAUGGCAGCUGGGACUUCGAGUACCCUCUAACUUUUACCGCAAAUGGCAAAUAUGAUCAUGACUUUUCCCUCCAAAAUCAGACCUCAGGGGCAUCUGUUGUAGAAUCUUGACAAAAUACAGAGUCCUUCUUCAGUUACUUUAUUUUGAACCCCUAAAUGAAGACCCGUUAGUCGUAAGCCAUCUAAAGCUAUGCUGAUAGGGGAUCCUGUGUAAGGUUCCUGGCAACAAAGGAGAGUAGGGGAAAGAGAAAUCUGACACACAUUCGGCACUUAUUCCUGGGGAUCUGGCCCCUCACCUGUUGGAUGUUGGAGGCCACAGUGAGCAAACCAGAUAAAGACCAUGUUAAAAAUCAAUACUACUACAUACGAUCUUUUAAAAGUAAGUGGUUAGCGUCUGAAGUCACAAAUAAGGAAAGAAUUAUUAUAACUUGGGGCAGAUGUUCCAAUGACAACAUCAUACCUAGAUUUAAAAAGUGCUGAAGGUCAAGCAACCCGGAUGGAUCUGCAGCUGAUACGCUCUGAAAGCUGAUUUGAUGACUGAGACCCCGAAGCAGAAGGCCUGCUGAAAGGGUUUGACUAAUGAAUAGCAUUGUGCUUGGGAAAAGGCCAUAUGUCUGUAUUAUAAACAGGAUAUGACUUUUAAAUAUAUCACUUAAACUAUUAGCUUAUCAAUCAGGAAUAUUGAACACUACACCAAAAACUAAUGAUGUGCUAUAUGUUGGCUAAUUGAGUUUAAACUUAAAAAAAAAAAAAAAUUUUUUUUUUUUUAAGAAUGGGGGAGGGGCAGAGGGAGAAGCAGACUCCCUGCUCAGCUGGGAGCCUGAUGCUGGGCUCCAUCCCAGGACCCUGGGAUCAUGACCUGAGCAGAAGGCAGACACUUGACCGAUGAGCAACCCAGGUGCCUCACUUAAACUAUUAACAUGUUAAUCAGUGUUUAUAAAUUAACAAAUAACGUAUGUGAUUUUAAGUAUGUCUAAUUAAAUUAUAUUAAUUAUUAUGUGCA